rnacentral:rRNA from 1 species
AACGAACGCUGGCGGCGUGCCUAACACAUGCAAGUCGAACGGAAAGGCCCUGCGUUUGUGGGGUGCUCGAGUGCCGAACGGGUGCGUAACACGUGAGUAACCGGCUCUUGACUUUCGGAUAACUUCAGGAAACUGGGGCUAAUACCGUAUAGGAGCUCCUGCUGCAUGGUGGGGGUUGGAAAGUCUCGGCGGUUGGGGAUGGACUCGCGGCUUAUCAGCUUGUUGGUGGGGUAGUGGCUUACCAAGGCGUUGACGGGUCGCCGGCCUGAGAGGGUGACCGGCCACAAUGGGACUGAGAUACGGCCCAGACUCCUACGGGAGGCAGCAGUGGGGAAUAUUGCACAAUGGGCGGAAGCCUGAUGCAGCAACGCCGCGUGCGGGAUGACGGCCUUCGGGCUGUAAACCGCUUUCGCCUGUGACGAAGCGUGAGUGACGGUAAUGGGUAAAGAAGCACCGGCUAACUACGUG